rnacentral:rRNA from 1 species
AUUGAACGCUGGCGGCAGGCCUAACACAUGCAAGUCGAGCGGAUGAAGGGAGCUUGCUCCUGGAUUCAGCGGCGGACGGGUGAGUAAUGCCUAGGAAUCUGCCUGGUAGUGGGGGAAAACGUCCGGAAACGGGCGCUAAUACCGCAUACGUCCUGAGGGAGAAAGUGGGGGAUCUUCGGACCUCACGCUAUCAGAUGAGCCUAGGUCGGAUUAGCUAGUUGGUGGGGUAAAGGCCUACCAAGGCGACGAUCCGUAACUGGUCUGAGAGGAUGAUCAGUCACACUGGAACUGAGACACGGUCCAGACUCCUACGGGAGGCAGCAGUGGGGAAUAUUGGACAAUGGGCGAAAGCCUGAUCCAGCCAUGCCGCGUGUGUGAAGAAGGUCUUCGGAUUGUAAAGCACUUUAAGUUGGGAGGAAGGGCAGUAAGUUAAUACCUUGCUGUUUUGACGUUACCAACAGAAUAAGCACCGGCUAACUUCGUG